GACGAACGCUGGCGGCGUGCCUAAUACAUGCAAGUCGAACGCACUCUCGUUUAGAUUGAAGGAGCUUGCUCCUGAUUGAUAAGCAUUUGAGUGAGUGGCGGACGGGUGAGUAACACGUGGGUAACCUGCCCUAAAGUGGGGGAUAACAUUUGGAAACAGAUGCUAAUACCGCAUAAAACCUAGCACCGCAUGGUGCAGGGUUGAAAGAUGGUUUCGGCUAUCACUUUAGGAUGGACCCGCGGUGCAUUAGUUAGUUGGUGAGGUAAAGGCUCACCAAGACCGUGAUGCAUAGCCGACCUGAGAGGGUAAUCGGGCCACACUGGGACUGAGACACGGCCCAGACUCCUACGGGA
rnacentral:rRNA from 1 species